UUCCGAUAGAUUAAGGGGGCUAGAUUGA
rnacentral:sRNA from 1 species